UGGGGAAUAUUGCACAAUGGGGGAAACCCUGAUGCAGCGACGCCGCGUGAGCGAAGAAGGCUUUCGAGUCGUAAAGCUCUGUCCUAUGAGAAGAUAAUGACGGUAUCAUAGGAGGAAGCCCUGGCUAAAUACGUGCCAGCAGCCGCGGUAAUACGUAGGUCCCGAGCGUUGUCCGGAUUUAUUGGGCGUAAAGCGAGCGCAGGCGGUUAGAAAAGUCUGAAGUGAAAGGCAGUGGCUCAACCAUUGUAGGCUUUGGAAACUGUUUAACUUGAGUGCAGAAGGGGAGAGUGGAAUUCCAUGUGUAGCGGUGAAAUGCGUAGAUAUAUGGAGGAACACCGGUGGCGAAAGCGGCUCUCUGGUCUGUAACUGACGCUGAGGCUCGAAAGCGUGGGGAGCGAACAGG
rnacentral:rRNA from 1 species